rnacentral:ribozyme from 14 species
AAAAUGAAAAAACGAUCUUGAGUGAAAAAAGAACAAAACUUUUUUAGCGUUAUGAACACCCAUUUUUUUCUAGCUUUUUUCUAAUUCUAACCUUUUUUCUAGCUUCCCUAGUACAUUCCGCUCAUGGUGCUAGCACAGCAAUAUUCAGUGAAGGAAGCUGAAGCGAAUCAUUAUAAGA